CCUACGGGAGGCAGCAGUGAGGAAUAUUGGACAAUGGGCGCAAGCCUGAUCCAGCCAUGCCGCGUGCAGGAAGACGGUCCUAUGGAUUGUAAACUGCUUUUGUACGGGAAGAAACACUCCUACGUGUAGGAGCUUGACGGUACCGUAAGAAUAAGGAUCGGCUAACUCCGUGCCAGCAGCCGCGGUAAUACGGAGGAUCCAAGCGUUAUCCGGAAUCAUUGGGUUUAAAGGGUCCGUAGGCGGUUUAGCAAGUCAGUGGUGAAAGCCCAUCGCUCAACGAUGGAACGGCCAUUGAUACUGCUAGACUUGAAUUACUAGGAAGUAACUAGAAUAUGUAGUGUAGCGGUGAAAUGCUUAGAUAUUACAUGGAAUACCAAUUGCGAAGGCAGGUUACUACUAGUGGAUUGACCGNUGAUGGACGAAAGCGUAGGGGAGCGAACAGGUAUUAGACUACCCGUGGUAGUCCACGACCGUAAACGAUAGUAGUACUAGUACGUGUUCGGGUACGUACCGUACGUAGUAGGUCGUA
rnacentral:rRNA from 1 species